rnacentral:rRNA from 1 species
UACAGAGACUGCAAGCGUUAUUCGGAUUCACUGGGCGUAAAGGGUGCGCAGGCGGUUGUGUGUCAGGGGUGAAAGCCCGGGGCUUAACCCCGGAAUUGCGCCUGAAACUACAUGACUAGAGCAUUGGAGAGGGUAGCGGAAUUCACGGUGUAGCAGUGAAAUGCGUAGAUAUCGUGAGGAACACCAGAGGCGAAGGCGGCUACCUGGACAAUUGCUGACGCUCAGGCACGAAAGCGUGGGGAGCAAAAGGG